UCAGACGCAGCGACGCCGCGUGGGUGAAGAAGGCCUUCGGGUUGUAAAGCCCUUUUCUGAGGGAAGAGAAAGGACGGUACCUUAGGAAUAAGCGUCGGCUAACUACGUGCCAGCAGCCGCGGUAAGACGUAGGACGCGAGCGUUAUCCGGAUUUACUGGGCGUAAAGCGUGUGUAGGCGGCGUGUCAAGUUGGGCGUGAAAGCCCCGUGCUCAACGCGGGGAGGCCGCACAAUACUGUCAGGCUAGAGGGCACCAGAGGGGUGUGGAAUUCCCGGAGUAGCGGUAAAAUGCGCAGAUAUCGGGAGGAACACCGGUGGCGAAAGCGGCACCCUGGGGUGCGCCUGACGCUGAGAGACGACAGCUANGGGAGCGAACAGGAUUAGAGACCCUGGUAGUCCGAGCCCGUAAACGAUGGAUGCUAGGUGGUAGGAAGUGAAGGAGCUUCUGUGCCGCAGCGGAAACGGCGAUAAGCAACCCCGCCUGGGGAAGUACGGCCGCAAGGUUAAAACUCAAACGAAUUGACGGGGACCCGCACAAGCAGCGGAGCGUGUGGUUUAAUUCGAUGCUACACGAAGAACCUUACCUGGGAUUGACAUAUGGGUGGUAGUGAUCCGAAAGGAGAGCGACCCUUCGGGGAGCCUAUACAGGUGCUGCAUGGCUGUCGUCAGCUCGUGCCGUGAGGUGUCGGGUUAAGUCCCGUAACGAGCGCAACCCUUGUCCUUAGUUACAAGUGUCUAAGGGGACUGCCGGCGGGAAGCCGGAGGAAGGUGGGGAUGACGUCAAGUCAGCAUGGCCCUUAUAUCCAGGGCGACACACACGCUACAAUGGUCGGUACAGAGGGCAGCGGAGCCGCGAGGUGGAGCGAAACCCAGAAAGCCGGUCGUAGUUCGGAUUGCAGGCUGCAACUCGCCUGC
rnacentral:rRNA from 1 species